UUCCUUUCGUUCGGAAGCUCCCCUUCGUACCACCCCUACUUUCACUCUCUUCGCCGCUACUCUCGGGCUCACAAUCACUACCGCCGGCGCGGAAAUUCCUCACCGUCCAGUACUCCCUCCAUCCCUCUUCCUUUCAUCUCUGUUCGUCUCUCUUUCUCGGUAUUAUUCUGUUUGGCGUGCGCUUGAUUUCGAACUGAUUCCUUGCUGCCGGCGCAACAUUUUCCUUUUGGCAGUUUGCACAGACAUCCCGAUUAUCCACCGUAAUCGAAAUUCCCUCCGUCAACAACAUGGCUGGUAAGUGGUAACCCCCUCCCUCUAUCUCUCUCUGAGCUAAUUGACUUAGCAUAACUAUAACCGAGUGUACAAACGUGAAUGAAAAGGUCAGUUGGUUUUUUUUUUGUUUUAAAGGGUAAAUGAAGGAGCCAUUGUUAACAAUGAGUGAAUCCAUUAUUGACCUUAGAACAUCCUGACUUCAUGUCUACAAUUCAACAAAUCUAUAAGAAGGCUACUUCCUCUGUCUUUAGCAGCCGCAAGUAUAUAACUUUCUUCGAAAUCACUAGGUCAUCCGUCCACUCUAUGAUUGUGUGAAAAGAUAUGCCUUCCAAAUCAAAAUGCUCUGCUUAGUUUUUACAACUGCGAGAUACUUUCUUCACAUGGCUUCAAAUGACUUGUUCUGUACAAUGUCAGUUUCAUCUUGUAAUCGUUGUUUGGUUGAUGGCAACGCCAGCCCUUGUGAUUAACCUCAAUGGAAAUAUUGGAUGGAUACUUAUAUCAGUGUUUUCGUCUUUAUGUACAGAUAAUCAGGAACCGAUCCUGAGCAAGAAUAGCAACACAGGGCAGCCACCGUUACUUAAGAAACUCAAACGCUGGCAAUGGUGGUUUGGAUUAUUCCCUCUAUCGUUCGCUUUUGGCUGUGUUUUCUUUUGCUUUUUCCCAGUUUUGGCAGAGUUGGGUGACUGGUUUUCCCUCCUA
rnacentral:lncRNA from 1 species